ACGGGAGGCAGCAGCUAAGGAUAUUCCGCAAUGGACGAAAGUCUGACGGAGCGACGCCGCGUGGAUGAUGAAGGUCGGAAGAUUGUAAAAUCCUUUUAUGACUGAGGAAUAAGUGAAGUGAGAGAAACGCUUCAUGGUGACUGUAGGUCAUGAAUAAGCAACGGCUAAUUACGUGCCAGCAGCCGCGGUAACACGUAAGUUGCGAGCGUUGUUCGGAAUUAUUGGGCGUAAAGGGCAUGUAGGCGGUUUUGCAAGCUUGGUGUGAAAUCCCGGAGCUCAACUCCGGAAUUGCGUUGAGAACUGCAUAACUAGAGUCACUGAGGGGCAAUCAGAAUUCCAGGUGUAGGGGUGAAAUCUGUAGAUAUCUGGAAGAACACCGAUGGCGAAGGCAGGUUUCUAGCAGAUGAUUGACGCUGAGGUGCGAAGGUGCGGGGAGCAAACAGGAUUAGAUACCCUGGUA
rnacentral:rRNA from 1 species